UUCCUGGAGGGUGCUGGAAACAUGCAUGAUAUCAUCCUUGAAGGCUCCUUCAUGCUCCUGGUGAUACAGCAGAAUGAGCUCACAGCCAUCUCCUUUGAUCCAUAAAGGUACAGUUAUGAAAUAAUUCAUGGGUGCUUUUGCUUGCUACAUAAUUUGCCAUCAAAUAUAAUUCAUGUGGUUUAUUUUUGGAGGUACAGAAUUAGUAUGUGGCAUAGUUCUGUUUAGUCAAGCAUGUCAGUGGAAAGUAAGUUGUAGCAAACAGUCUAGAUUUUUGUUUGCAUAUUUUAUGUAAGCGAUCUUAUACCGUAGUAUUCUAAAUAUACUGUAGUAUGUAGCAUUGUAAAAUUAGGACUUAGAUGGUCUGCACUGCAGAUUCACACAUCAAGCAUCA
rnacentral:lncRNA from 1 species